CUUGUGUUUCAGUGACCGGGCAUUAUCACCCCGCCACAGUCGGCAACAAGGCCGCAGGGAUUGGUCGGUUCAGCCCGGAGCCCGGCCUCCUCCUCCUGCUGGGAUUGGCUGUCCAUCACCUCUGGAACUGAUGGGGGCGGAGCCACAGACACGACUCACCUGCUGAUGUUACUUCCUGCUGCUUCUCAGCGUCUGAUUGGUCGACUGAUCAGCUGAUGUUUCCAUGACGUUAUAUUAAUGCUUUUAUUUUGUAAUAAAUAACUUCACUGACUUUUGA